AGGAGACACCUCCAGAGAAAGUAACAGCUCUCAAUUGAUUAGCUGAGGUCCUUAUUUUUUCAGGUCUCAAUUUGCACCUGUCUAAAGUCUUUCCUGACUUUUCUAUUUAAGGAAGACACCAGACAAAUGAGUUACACUGUUUUGGACUCCCCAACACAACCCAGCCACCGGCUGAAUGCCACCAAAUUACCUUCUAGUUAAAGGUUUAUGGAGCAAACGAAUCACCUAUUCAAUAUCUGCUUGAAUUUCUGACUCAAAAUACAUCAGGUAUGUACUGUGUGACUUAAAUAUUGAG
ensembl:lncRNA novel transcript